rnacentral:precursor_RNA from 8 species
UUGUGUGUGUGUGCGUGUGUUGUCUUGCUUUAGCAGCAUGUAAAUAUUGGAGUUACUCCUUGGCCAAUGCCUCCAAUAUUGCUCGUGCUGCUGAAGCAAGAAGUCACCAAGCAGCACAUGCACGU